CGAGGUAUAGCUUAGUGGUAGAGUGCUUGCCUUGCAUGCACGAGGUCCUGGGUUCAAUCCCCAUUACCUCCA
rfam:Camelus ferus unplaced genomic scaffold scaffold755, whole genome shotgun sequence.